CUGAACGCGGCAGCAGCAUUCGCCUCCUUAAUUGAUGCUUCAAAGAAGAGAAAUGCAUGGUCAGUUUUCCUCUUGUGAAGCUCCCAGGAAAAGAAAUAGAAGAAUUUCCUAAAUCCCGAACCAAAGAAGCAUAAACUAGUGAGUGCAAAGGCAGAAAAAAAGCAGUAACAUUCCGGAGAUAAAAUGCAAAGGUAAGAGAAGGCUCUUGUGUGUGUACUCUCCUCCUAACGCACGUAGGAGAGUCAUUGCAGCCUUUAAUUGCUGCUGGAGGUGGAGAAAAUAGAAAGGUUGAAGAAGAGCAUCAGGAGAGAAAUAAUGGAAACCUGACCAGUGACAGGAGAUGAUUACUGUUGGC
rnacentral:lncRNA from 1 species